rnacentral:rRNA from 1 species
GUCGAGCGGAUGAGAAGAGCUUGCUCUUCGAUUCAGCGGCGGACGGGUGAGUAAUACCUAGGAAUCUGCCUGGUAGUGGGGGACAACGUUUCGAAAGGAACGCUAAUACCGCAUACGUCCUACGGGAGAAAGCAGGGGACCUUCGGGCCUUGCGCUAUCAGAUGAGCCUAGGUCGGAUUAGCUAGUUGGUGAGGUAAUGGCUCACCAAGGCUACGAUCCGUAACUGGUCUGAGAGGAUGAUCAGUCACACUGGAACUGAGACACGGUCCAGACUCCUACGGGAGGCAGCAGUGGGGAAUAUUGGACAAUGGGCGAAAGCCUGAUCCAGCCAUGCCGCGUGUGUGAAGAAGGUCUUCGGAUUGUAAAGCACUUUAAGUUGGGAGGAAGGGCAGUAAGCGAAUACCUUGCUGUUUUGACGUUACCGACAGAAUAAGCACCGGCUAACUCUGUGCCAGCAGCCGCGGUAAUACAGAGGGUGCAAGCGUUAAUCGGAAUUACUGGGCGUAAAGCGCGCGUAGGUGGUUCGUUAAGUUGGAUGUGAAAUCCCCGGGCUCAACCUGGGAACUGCAUCCAAAACUGGCGAGCUAGAGUAGGGCAGAGGGUGGUGGAAUUUCCUGUGUAGCGGUGAAAUGCGUAGAUAUAGGAA